rnacentral:rRNA from 1 species
UACGAAGGGGGCUAGCGUUGCUCGGAAUCACUGGGCGUAAAGCGCACGUAGGCGGAUUGUUAAGUCAGGGGUGAAAUCCUGGAGCUCAACUCCAGAACUGCCUUUGAUACUGGCGAUCUUGAGUCCGGGAGAGGUGAGUGGAACUGCGAGUGUAGAGGUGAAAUUCGUAGAUAUUCGCGAGAACACCAGUGGCGAAGGCGGCUCACUGGCCCGAUACUGACGCUGAGGCACGAAAGCGUGGGGAGCAAACAGG